CUACGGGUGGCAGCAGUGAGGAAUAUUGGUCAAUGGGCGCAAGCCUGAACCAGCCAUCCCGCGUGAAGGAAGAAUGUCCUAUGGAUUGUAAACUUCUUUUAUGUCCCAAGAAUGGUUCGUACGUGUACGGAUUUGACGGUAGGACAUGAAUAAGCAUCGGCUAACUCCGUGCCAGCAGCCGCGGUAAUACGGAGGAUGCGAGCGUUAUCCGGAUUCAUUGGGUUUAAAGGGUGCGUAGGCGGCUUAUUAAGUCAGUGGUGAAAUCCUGCGGCUCAACCGUAGAACUGCCAUUGAAACUGAUAAGCUUGAAUACAAUUGAGGUAGGCGGAAUGAGUAGUGUAGCGGUGAAAUGCUUAGAGAUUACUCAGAACACCAAUUGCGAAGGCAGCUUACUAAACUGUUAUUGACGCUGAUGCACGAAAGCGUGGGGAGCGAACAGGAUUAGAUACCCCCGUAGUC
rnacentral:rRNA from 1 species